rnacentral:rRNA from 1 species
GACGAACGCUGGCGGCGUGCUUAACACACGCAAGUCGAACGGGGAUAUUUAGAAGAAGCUACUUGUAGUGGACUUUAAAUAUUCUAGUGGCGAACGGGUGAGUAACGCGUGAGGACUUACCCAUUUCCGGGGGAUAACAGUUGGAAACAGCUGCUAAUACCGCAUAAGCCUAAGGGUAAAAGAAGUAAUUCGGGAAUGGAGAGACUCGCGUCCUAUCAGCUAGUAGGUGAGAUAAGAGCUCACCUAGGCGAAGACGGGUAACCGGACUGAGAGGUCGAACGGUCACACUGGAACUGAGACACGGUCCAGACUCCUACGGGAGGCAGCAGUGGGGAAUUUUGGGCAAUGGGGGGAACCCUGACCCAGCGACGCCGCGUGAGUGAAGAAAUUCCUCGGAAUGUAAAGCUCUGUUGUAUGGGAAGAUAAUGACGGUACCAUACGAGGAAGCCCCGGCAAACUACGUGCCAGCAGCCGCGGUAAUCACGGGAGUA